rnacentral:lncRNA from 14 species
GAGAGGCUCAGCAGCCUGGCAGGAGCAGGGGGAGGCCGGGCUGAGGAGGUGUAACUUGUUUUCCCUCUCGCCUGGGGUGGAGGCAAGUUGGUUGUUGAGCAGGUUAUGAAGGUGGGUCCCGGAGAGAAAGCCUACAUUUCAUGAGUCUGAGGAGAAGUAGGAGGAAAAUCAGGUGAAAACUGGCGAGGUGAAGAUGGAAGGAAUGGUUUGAAGACACACUCUAAAAGUGUCAGUGAAGCCAAAGGUGCCAGAUGAAUCCUGGAAUUGAUCUUUCUUUAAUUGCUGUGUGAUCCUGGACAUCAGAGUUGAGAUGGGCAACGAGAACAGCAGUGCAGAGAAUGAGAACACUCCACAAGACUCAGAAUUGGGCCAACCUCCUGGUAAUGGUCACAAUUUCAAAAGGAGCCCUGAGAAAAAGAGCACAGCAAAGUCUGGAGGUCAGGACCCCUCAGAUGCUCUUGCUGCUGCUGUGCCACUGCCUGAGGAGAGCUCAUCCCCCUCCAUUGCAGCACCUACAAGCAUCAGUAGCCACAGUGCUGAAGAGCUCUCCAGCCCAAAUUCCAGCCCAAAUUCCAGCCUGGGGUCUCCAGAGGGGACGGGACAGAGCACUGCCUUGCGAGAGCAAGGAGGACAAGCAGACUCUGAUUUCUUAAAGCACUCUGCUGAAGCAAGGGAGAGAAUCCUGCCUGCCACAGACUGUGCCAAAGGACCUGUCACAGGCAGCAGUGACAAAUCACACCCCUCAGACUGCCACAGAGCACAGCCAUCACCGGGUCCAGGGGAGGACAAAGAAGAGGGAUCAGCACAUGUGGACAAUACUGCUGCCUCCUGUACCAAAACCAGCCAGAAUGAGCCCAGAACGCCACAGGAGCCCAGCCCUGCACUCACAGCAGUGGGUUUGGGUGAAUUAGGAUCACUCCAGCAGGAUGAGCAGCUGGGUGGCAGGAGGGAGCCACAUGGCAGCACGUUUCCCCAGGGUGAAGCAGCAGGAGAUUAUUUUACUGCUCAGGAGGCCGAGCAGCAGCAGCGAGGAGUUUUGGAAGUAGGUCAGCUGCAGGCAGUAAUGCAGCAAGGUAGACAGAACACAGAUGGUGGAGAGGGUCUGCUAAUGAAAAAGGAAACCUUAAUCCCAAAUUAUCCAGCAACAGGAGGCUCAGACGGUGAAAAUUUUGGAGCAAUUGUGAAUGCUCAGGGCUUCAGUGAGAUCUGUAAUCUACAGAUGGGGGCUGAAACAACAGCUAGAGGGAAUGAGGCAAAUCCAGCUCUAUGUGGAAGCAAAAGGGAGCAAUCAGAACCCUGUGCUUUAAUGUCAGAUUUGCCUUCUAGCCCUCCAAAUCUCUUCCUGGUACUAAAGCCUGAAGAGCCUUCGAGGGAAUAUGUGCCUGGAAAUGAAUCUCAAUAUCCAGUGAGGAGAGAAGCAGUGAAAACAGCCUCUGAAAAAAACAAACCCUUUUUUCAAAGUGAGCUUCAAAAGCAGGAUGAGCUUGUUAGUGCUGAGCAGUUCAGUGUGCCUUUAUCAUUUGAGAGAGAGGAAGAAGAAAAAUCAGCUGUCACAACUGAAAGCCCAAAAGAAGCCAAUAGCAAUGAAAUCAUAAAAGUUGAUGAUGUGUCUAGAGAAAGCACCACCCUUUGUGAAACAGAAAGCAUUAUCAGUCCCACCAAGGAAAAUUCAGUGGUAGAUAAAAGAUUAUUACUGGAAGAAUAUGCAUUAAGUACUUCUUUGAGCAGAUCCACAGAGCUGUAUCAAAAAGAAACGGGGGUGGAUGUAACAGGAAGAAAAAAUGGAAUCAGAACAGAGGAUGCACAAGUGUCAGAAACAAGUGAAUUUCCUCAGGGCUCAAGUGGGGCAGGAAAACAAUUAUUGAGCUCUGUUAGUAGCCACCACCAGGACAUGGAAAAUACGCAGCUGGAACACGAUCCUGAAAAAUUCAAUCUUUGUGAAAACCCUUCAACAGGUGACCUGGGGGAAGAAGGUGGGGGAAAGCCUCUGAAUUUGGAAAGUAACUUUAAAUUAUCCAAAGGGAAUUCCCAGCCUCGUGGUUGUGAACCUGAACAACAAAUGAGCAAAGAGAAAACAGCUGCCCCACAUGGCCUGGAGGAGAAACUCGUGGCUUCCCCACAGCUGGCAAGGGAGGAAUGCCCAGGGAGUUUUGAUUGCUCUAACACUGAGGCAGAAGGCAAAACUUGGGACCAGUCAGACUGUGACAGGACUGAAAAGGUUUGUUUUGAUGGUGCACACAGUUCACUGCUCCUCCACCCUGGGAACAAUCAUAUCAAGCAGAGUAAGCAGGAUGAGUCCUGGGAAAAGGCUUUUGCUAGAGAAGCUGUGCUGGAAUCUGAACGCAAAGCUGAGAGUCAAGACAAGCCUGAGAGCUCCAGCAAGUCAGGAGAAAGUGCAAAAAUGCCUGAAUUAAAACUCGAUCUCCAGGCCUUAAAUGAGUUGGCAGGGACUAUGGGACAAACCAAGGAGGCCUCACAGGAAACCAAAGAACAGAACAGUCCCAUCACCAAGGCACCUCACAGAGAUCCAGAGCAGGAACCUGCAGCUGCACACAGCAGUGCUGGGGAUGGAAACCAAAAUGAGGGUGUUCAACAAGGGAAGCACCAAACUGCAGUGAAAAGUUCUGUGGAGGAUGAAGAUUUGGCUCAGAAAAGUAAAGGUAAAUCGGAUGUGCCAGCUCAGCUGGAGCAAGUGGCUGCAGAAAGUCACAGAAAUACACAGAUGGCUGGUUCAGAACCCUCCAAAACUGCAGUCAGCACUUCAGGACUUACUGAUCACCAAGUUCACAUGGAGGAAAGGGGUGACAGCCACGUCACUGCAAACAGCUGCCCCUCUGAGAGGGACACGUGCAGCUCUUCAGAGGAGUGCAGUGUCCCAGAGGGGCAGGAAAAUGAAGGUGCUCCAGCAGCUCCUCCCCAGGCAGAGCACGCAGAGCAGUCACUGUCUGCUGCUAGUGACAGUGGCUGGAGUUCAAACACAGAACUUGACCAGCAGGAGCACCAGGGCAGGCUGCCAGCUGCCAGCAGAGCAGCUGAUCAGCAGCACAGGGGAAAGGCACCACAACCCGAGUGGUCGGACCCAGACAAUCGCAGCAACGCACCACAAACACCUCCGGACAUUUCAAACAACCCUGACAAACCACCUCCUGUGCCAGGUCCAGCACUGCCCCAGAGUGGCUCUGACAGGCCAAAAGAGCAGGACAAGGAUGACAGCAGAGCUGAGGACGUGAGCAAACACGGGCAGAACGCUCCCGGUGUGACCGCGCUUAAUUUGCGAGAUUGCACGGAGGAAAACAAAACCCAUCUCCAGGCAGGAGAGAAGUGCUGCAGUAAGCACAACUCCAGCAAGCCCGAGCAGGGUGAUAAUUCUUUGAUCUCAGCGAGGCAGCAUGAAGCAGCAUGUCAGAGAGACACGUUUUGUAAAGAACUUGAAAAGAAUGAGCAGCCAGGCAGCGUGUGCAGGAGAGAGGAUAAUGCUGCUGAAAGCUCUGCUGCUGCUGCUGCUGCUGCUGUAAACUCUCUUCCAGGGACACAGGAUUCAGCAAGUGCCACUAACACAUCACAGGCUUUGCCAAGAGAUACAGAAAUAGCACAUACUUCUGAUAAUUCUGAGAAAAAUGAUCCCCAAAUAUCUCGUCCAGAAAUGCAAAGGAAAAUGCCAUUAAUGGCAAAGAACUCAGAAAAUGUUCUGACUGCUGAUGGGGGAAUCAUCCAGAAAGAUGGAAACAUGGAGAUGAGUUGUGAGGACAGUGCUUCUGCCCCAGAAACAAGCAGUAUAAAGCCUGAUGCAAGUCCAGGGGCACAAGGAUCUCCUUCACCAUUACAGGCACACAGGGAGGACAUUCCCACUGAUAACUCACAUAAAUCCAGCUGCACUCAAAAUGCAACAGAGCAGCCUGGUUAUUGUCAAGCAGAUUUUACAAUUUCUGCACUCAGCCAUCCCAGCCAGCAACCUGGAAACAACCAGGACAAGGGUACUGGGGGGGGAUCACUAAAUAAUGAGCUGGAAGUUGCAGCAUCCCAAAACAGCUCAGAAGGUAACUCUAAUUUGCAGGGUCUCCCAGGUCCUCAGGUGUCAGCACCCUUAGGUCCCUCACCCAGGGUAAGCACAGGUAAAGCAGCAAACUCAGAAAACAGCUCUGCAGGGAAUAUGUGUGUGAGGGAAAAAGACUGUCCAGACCAAAGUUUUCAGGGUGAUGGAGACAAAAUGUUUGCCCUGUCAGAGACUUCGAAUGUAGGGCAGAGAACUGGAAACUUAUCACACUUCAAUUCUGAGAAGCUGAAGAAAGAGAUCUCUGCAAUUAAAUCCAAAACAACAAAAAGUGAGCUAAACUUCAAAGAACAGCAAAGUGACAGUUCAGCAGAGUCCCUGUUAGCACUCCCUACUACAGAAGGGAAGCUGCUGAGCCUUUCAUCAUCACGAGGAGGCUGUAAUGAGGAAAUUGCAAGCCAAUAUCUGCGUAGAUGACAAGUACGGUAAGAUCUUAGAGAAACCUGGGAAUUCAGAAAAAAUGGAAGAGCUUUCAAAAGAGAAUAAUAACAUAACCAGGGCAGACAUCAGUGUUUCUGAGCAGUCUGCAGAGAACUCUGGAAGGGAGCAUGAGGCUCUGACUUGCAGCUCUUUGGACAUUGGCUCCAGCAUCCCAGACUUCAGGGAGCACAUCAGCCAGAUUUUUAAAAAGUCUGUCCACAGCACACUGAGUGCUGAAUUACCCCAGCUUUUGACUGAAAACCAUGCAGGCUUCAAGCAGAGCCCAGUGGCCAAGGACACAGCAGGACUCUGUGGUGCUGAGAACUUUUCAGAGCCAAACAAGGCGGGCGAAGGAGCUCCCGAGGGCACCUCAGAAGCAGAGGGGCAAGAGUUGUCUUUAGCUACUGAGAUUUCCUGCGAAGCUGCCCAGGGCAAACCUCUGCAACAAGAAAAGACAGGGGCACAGCUGCCACCAGCAAGUCUCCAGGACCCUGAGGAAAGCAGGCAGCCCUCUGGCUGUUCAGAAGUGGUCCCUGGCUUGGAUGGCGCUCCAUCUGCCGAACAAGCCGCGGAAAAUCUGCGUAAAGCCAGGCAAACCCACUGAGAGCAGUGAGAUGGAAAGAGAGGAGGGCGUGUGUGCUGGUGGCGUUGAUCCUGAAUCACUAAUAAGCUUAGAGAUAAAGAAGCAAGGACCAGCUCCAUUUGAUGGGGCAGCAGCUGAGAACUUCCCUGCGUGUUCGAGAGCCAGCAGCAACCCACUGGAGCUGUUAUCUCUGCAGGCGAUGGGCAGGGCAGGGACGUAGAAGAUGCUGCUGCCACAGAGGGAAAUAACUUAAUUACAGAGUGCAAUGCACAGCCAGCUCCCUCUGAAGAGGAUGUAAGUCUUCCUGCUGCACAGUGCCAGGAUCCUAAGCCAAAUGAACAGGAGAAAAGCGAGUACGGUGAUGCAGAGGUUGCCCGGAGCAGCUCUGACAUGGCAGCUCCAACGCUCGUCCCGGGAGGAUCUUACAGCCAUGAAGAAUUGCCAGACAGUUUCAGGGUGCCACCUGAGGAAAAUCAGGGGGCAAACAUUCACAGCAAUUCUGUGCAUGACAUUAGGUCUCAGAGUGACAUGCAGUUGAUACAGGAUGAAGCAGUAAAUAGGAAACGCUUGGAAACAUCGGGGAAUUCUCAAGAUGCACAGCAAGAAAAGAACGUGACCAUGCAUGGGUUAAUAGAUUACUUAAAAACUGAAGUAAGCCAGGAUGAUUGCUUGCAAACUGCCUGUAAACUAGAAUCUGGCAGCAUGACUGAGGGAGAGGUGAAAGAGAGCAGUGACACAGUGUUAAGCUCAGCAAGAACAGGUAAUCAAAAAAUUCAGAGAGACAUCCCUGAAACUGGUACUGCAAGGAUGUUAGUCACUGCUGAGGGAAACCUAGCUAUAAACACCAGCACUGAGGAGCAGGAGGCACACCUGUACAGAAAUCACUCUCCAGCCCUCCCUGUGAUGGAGCAGGGGGAGCAUUCUGCAUGCGCAGGUGUUGCUGUUGCUGAAAAUCAGCCAAGCAAGAUGAAUUCAGAGCAUGAAAUCUCCCUCGAGGAUGCCAAAGGAAAGCUAUCACCACUGGCAUUAACUGAGCCUAAGAACCUUGACCUCAGUGAACCUCAAGAUAUGGCUGUGGCAGGAUUACCCACUGAAAGGUAUUUACUUUGAAUUACUACGUGAAAUGCUUGGCAGGAGCCCAG